GUUCCUGGGAAGUACAGCGUUGAAGUGACAGGCUAGUCCCAGUUUACAUAGUCCCAGUAAACAACCUGAAGCCGGCAGUGGUCAAAGUGUAUGACUACUACCAAAUCAGUGAUGAAGCAGAGGCAGAGUACAGCUCCCCGUGUGCAUAAGAAGAGAUCCUGGUGGAUUCAAUCAUUCUGGUGUGUGUGUGUGUGUACUUUAUUUUGAUUUUGUCACCAUGACAGACAGUAAAUAGACAGAGAUUACAUUCCA